GAGAGAAUAAGAGGCUAAUUCUGUCCUCUUUAGGCUACAUUAUAAAAGGGACUGCAGUACAAACGCAUAGCUAAAUAAAUAUGUUGUAAAAACUGUGCAGCAUUGUAGGGACUUUUCCUGCCUUGAAACAAAGGAAGAGAGAAUAAGAGGCUAAUUUUGUCCUCUUUAGGCUCCAUGAUACAAGGGAAUGCAGUACAAACGCAAGUCUCAACAGUAUAGAGUCAAAACCAUCCAGCACUCAGUGGCCCCAUCGCGCUGGUCAGUAGAGGACCCGAGGCCAUCAGACGCAGCGGAACCUUUCUGGGUCGUAAGGUGAUAGUCCGGGGGACGUAAAUAGCCAGACGACGCGAGGAGGAAAGUGCGGGAGACUGGAAUGAAGCGACUGGAGAGUUAUGAAGGAUGAUGCCGCCGAAGUCCCGAGCGGCUUCGAGACAAGGAAGAGAAGCUCCGCGACUCACUUGAGCCAGUCAGUCAGUGGUCAGUGGCGUCAGCUUUGUUGUGGUGUACGCGUGAGUCUUGUGUUUUCUUGAACGCUUUUUUGGGCUUUAGGUGAACCAAAACUCUCCCAAAGCCUGUCCACAGUGGUCACCAGCUGUGACGCAAGGAGCAGCUUUCUCAGCGACAGGGAGCGGUGGACGGCGGAUGAAUACUUUGGCUCCCGCGCCUUCUUCUGCAUCAUGUCCGCCCGCUGACCCUGGUGGUGGGCGACGUGCGUCAGAGGAAUUGAAAAUGUAGAGGACUCGCUGCUGUGCCCUGCGUGUAGCUGUGAGGUGAAGUGCAGACGGCUGCAUUGUCUCAGCCUCGGAGGUGCCACUUGUUCAAAUUACGAAUGGUUUAAUGUUAUUUUUUGCAGGCUGUGGAAUAUUGCAGUAUCUUAUAACAAGACAAAUGAUAUAAAAAAGCAUGUA